rnacentral:misc_RNA from 1 species
GAUGAAGAACGUAGUGAAAUGCGAUAAGUAAUGUGAAUUGCAGAAUUCAGUGAAUCAUCGAAUCUUUGAACGCACAUUGCGCCCCCUGGUAUUCCGGGGGGCAUGCCUGUCCGAGCGUCAUUGCUGCCCUCAAGCACGGCUUGUGUGUUGGGCCCCGUCCUCCGAUCCCGGGGGACGGGCCCGAAAGGCAGCGGCGGCACCGCGUCCGGUCCUCGAGCGUAUGGGGCUUUGUCACCCGCUCUGUAGGCCCGGCCGGCGCUUGCCGAUCAACCCAAAUUUUUAUCCAGGUUGACCUCGGAUCAGGUAGGGAUACCCGCUGAACUUAAGCAUAUCAAUAAGCGGAGGA